rnacentral:rRNA from 1 species
GAUGAACGCUGGCGGUGCGCCUUAAGCAUGCAAGUCGAACGAGAUCUUCGGAUCUAGUGGCAGACGGGUGAGUAAGGCAUAGGAAUCUACCUUCAAGUGGGGAAUAACUCAUCGAAAGAUGGGCUAAUACCGCAUGUGAUAGCAAUAUUAAAGCCUUCGGGCGCUUGGAGAGGAGCCUGUGUAUUAUCAGUUAGUUGGUGGGGUAAUGGCCUACCAAGACUAUGACGAUUAGCCGAUGUGAGAGCAUGAUCGGCCACAAUGUUACUGAGACACGGAACAUACACCUACGGGUGGCAGCAACUGGGAAUCUUGCGCAAUGGACGAAAGUCUGACGCAGCGACACCGCGUGUGGGAAGAAGCUUUUAGGAGCGUAAACCACUGUGGCGAGGGAAGAAACGGACGGUACCUCGCUAGAAAGCACCAGCUAACUACGUGCCAGAAGCUUCGGUAAUACGUAGGGUGCAAGCGUUAUCCGGAUUUACUGGGCGUAAAGCGUCUGUAGGCGUUUUGGUAAGUUAUUAGUCUAAGCCUGGAGCUCAACUCCAGAAAGGCUGGUAAAACUGCCAGAAUUGAGUUUGUUUGGGGAAGCUGGAAUUCUCGGUGGAGGGGUGAAAUCCAUAGAUAUCGAGAGGAACACCGUACGCGAAGGCAGGCUUCUGGAACACAACUGACGCUCAGAGACGAAAGCAUGGGUAGCAAACAGGAUUAGAGACCCUGGUAGUCCAUGCCGUAAAUUUUCCUUGCUAGCUGUUUUCACUUUUUAGUGGGAAUGGCGUAAGCUAACGCGUUAAGCAAGGCGCCUGGGGACUACGACCGCAAGGUUAAAACUCAAACGGAAUUGACGGGGGAGCGCACAAUCGGUGGAGCAUGUGGUUUAAUUCGAUACGAAGCGAAAGACCUUACCUAGGUUUGACAUGUAUCUACAAAUCCCGUGAAAGCGGGACUUCUUCGAGAGUGAUACACAGGUGAUGCAUGGCUGUCGUCAGCUCGUGUCGUGAGGCGUCCACUUAAGUGUGGUAACGAGCGUAACCCUUAUCGUAUGUUACAUCUCAUACGAGACUGCCCUCAACCAGGGCGUUCAAGCCGGUUAUUUUGGAAAUUUUCUUUAUUAAACAUGUCGAGCACAGCUCGAUCGGCAAAAAAUAAUUCUCGUCUACAGUGAGUACACUCCGAUUAUUUUUUGUGUUUAACCUCAAACUAACCACCUUGAUUUGUUAAAAUCAAGCAGUUUGAACUUCGUGGUUGAGGGAGGAAGGAGAGGACGACGUCAAGUCAGCAUGUCCCUUAUAUCUAGGGCUACACACAUCCUACAAUGGGAAGUACAACGGGUCGCGACGAGGUAACUCUGAGCCAAUCCUUAUAAAACUUCUCUCAAUUCGGAUUGCGGGCUGCAAUUCGCCCGCAUGAAGCCGGAAUCGAUAGUAAUCGCAAAUCAGCAGGUUGCGGUGAAUACGUUCUCGCUCCUUGUACACACUGCCCAUCAAGCCAGCAAAGUUGGCAACGCCCGAAGCGAGUGACCCUAACCAGCAAUGGAGGGGCCUCACUACGGCGAGGUCAGCGAUGAGGACU